rnacentral:rRNA from 1 species
UGCCAGCCGCCGCGGUAAUACUGAAGGUGCAAGCGUUAAUCGGAAUUAUUGGGCGUAAAGCGUACGUAGGCGGUCAUCUAAGUCUGGGGUUAAAGACCAAGGCUCAACCUUGGGAGUGCCCUGGAUACUGGGUGACUGGAGGACGGCAGAGGAAAGUGGAAUUCCCAGUGUAGCGGUGAAAUGCGUAGAUAUUGGGAGGAACACCAGUGGCGAAAGCGACUUUCUGGGCCGUUCCUGACGCUGAGGUACGAAAGCCAGGGGAGCAAACGGGAUUAGAUA